rnacentral:rRNA from 1 species
GAUGAAUGCUGGCGGCGUGGAUGAGGCAUGCAAGUCGAAUGGGUUUAGACCCAUGGCAGACGAGGUAGGAACACGUAGGUACGUGCCCAAGAGUCAGGGAUACUCCGGUGAAAAUCGGCAUAAUACUUGAUGGUCCCUUCGGGGUAAAGAUUUAUCGCUCUUGGAACGGCCUGCGGGCUAUCAGCUUGUUGGUAAGGUAACGGCUUACCAAGGCUACGACGGCUAGGGGAGGUGAGAGCCUGACCCCCACCGAUGGAACUGAGACACGGUCCAU